rnacentral:rRNA from 1 species
AACGAACGCUGGUGGCAUGCCUAACACAUGCAAGUCGAACGAGACCUUCGGGUCUAGUGGCGCACGGGUGCGUAACGCGUGGGAACCUGCCCUUAGGUUCGGAAUAACUCCCCGAAAGGGGUGCUAAUACCGGAUAAUGUCUUCGGACCAAAGAUUUAUCGCCUUUGGAUGGGCCCGCGUUGGAUUAGCUAGUUGGUAGGGUAAAAGCCUACCAAGGCGACGAUCCAUAGCUGGUCUGAGAGGAUGAUCAGCCACACUGGGACUGAGACACGGCCCAGACUCCUACGGGAGGCAGCAGUGGGGAAUAUUGGACAAUGGGCGAAAGCCUGAUCCAGCAAUGCCGCGUGAGUGAUGAGGGCCUUAGGGUUGUAAAGCUCUUUUACCCGGGAUGAUAAUGACAGUACCGGGAGAAUAAGCUCCGGCUAACUCCGUG